UACGGAGGGGGCUAGCGUUGUUCGGAAUUACUGGGCGUAAAGAGCACGUAGGCGGCUUUGCAAGUUAGAGGUGAAAGCCCGGGGCUCAACUCCGGAAUUGCCUUUAAAACUGCAUCGCUAGAAUUGUGGAGAGGUAAGUGGAAUUCCGAGUGUAGAGGUGAAAUUCGUAGAUAUUCGGAAGAACACCAGUGGCGAAGGCGACUUACUGGACCCAUAUUGACGCUGAGGUGCGAAAGCGUGGGGAGCAAACAGG
rnacentral:rRNA from 1 species